UUCUGAUAUAGUCGGUCCACGCGGCGGUGCUUUUUAGUAUAAACCUAUUGUCUGUAUAAUUACAUUAUAUAAUAAUAAUGUAAGGACUCCAUCUUGUUACUUUCCAAUUCCGUAGCAGCAACUCGAGGAUUUUGCGUCAGCGCAUUCUCUCCUUCUAAAUAACAAGAAAGACAUCACAAAGGGUUAAGAGAAUUUGAAGGAUAGACCAGGACAUCAUCCUCUAAGGACUUCAAAGCACCUAAGCGUCACUGCUGAUGUUUUGUAUUAAAACAUUAUUUGUGAAAUUAUAAAGCCAUUCUAGUCGAGUGUCGAGUGCAGCUUGAUUUAAAAAACAGAAAAUCUACAAAGUAAAAUUUUGGAAGGCCAGUCCUACUCUCUUCAUACCUCUCAGAUGACUUUUUACAAUCAACUGCAGGACCUUCAUUUCAAAACAUCAAGGAAUCACAACUCCAAUAAUCUGCCAUGAUCUAUUUGUCCAGAAUUUGCACCAUUAAAUAU